rnacentral:tRNA from 1 species
GCGUCAGUGGUUUAGUGGUAAAAUCCAUCGUUGCCAUCGAUGGGCCCCGCGUUCGAUUCGCGGCUGGCGCA